AGAGUUUGAUCCUGGCUCAGGACGAACGCUGGCGGCGCGCCUAACACAUGCAAGUCGAACGAGAGAUGAGGAGCUUGCUCUUCAAAUCGAGUGGCGAACGGGUGAGUAACGCGUGAGGAACCUGCCUCAAAGAGGGGGACAACAGUUGGAAACGACUGCUAAUACCGCAUAAGCCCACGGCUCGGCAUCGAGCAGGGGGAAAAGGAGCAAUCCGCUUUGAGAUGGCCUCGCGUCCGAUUAGCUAGUUGGUGAGGUAAUGGCCCACCAAGGCGACGAUCGGUAGCCGGACUGAGAGGUUGAACGGCCACAUUGGGACUGAGACACGGCCCAGACUCCUACGGGAGGCAGCAGUGGGGAAUAUUGCACAAUGGGGGAAACCCUGAUGCAGCGACGCCGCGUGGAGGAAGAAGGUCUUCGGAUUGUAAACUCCUGUUGUUGAGGAAGAUAAUGACGGUACUCAACAAGGAAGUGACGGCUAACUACGUGCCAGCAGCCGCGGUAAAACGUAGGUCACAAGCGUUGUCCGGAAUUACUGGGUGUAAAGGGAGCGCAGGCGGGCGAUCAAGUUGGAAGUGAAAUCCAUGGGCUCAACCCAUGAACUGCUUUCAAAACUGGUCGUCUUGAGUAGUGCAGAAGUAGGCGGAAUUCCCGGUGUAGCGGUGGAAUGCGUAGAUAUCGGGAGGAACACCAGUGGCGAAGGCGGCCUACUGGGCACCAACUGACGCUGAGGCUCGAAAGUGUGGGUAGCAAACAGGAUUAGAUACCCUGGUAGU
rnacentral:rRNA from 1 species